CAGGUGGCAGUGCUGGCCACCGCUGCCGGUCUCUUGCCGCUCGACUCCUCCAAUCUCUCCCGCCGGUGUCGCUGAAGCUCGGAGGAGCCAACUGCAGAUCUGAGCGUUGCCUUGCCUCCCAUCUCCUUCAGUUGCUCCUUGUCUCACACGUGACGGGGUUGUUUCUCUAUAAUGGAUGUGCCGCCUGAAAAUAAUCAAGCCAACAGGCCUUUGUGGAACUAUGUGGACAUUUUAGAGUCAAGUGUAGGAGCUGGAGGAAAUGUGUGAUUCAGAUGCAAGUUUUGUACACAUGAAUACAAUAGAACCUAUGCGCGAGUUAAAUCACAUUUGCUAAAGAUGUCAUGUAGAGGGAUCAGAACGUGUCCAAGUGUGACAAAUUCUACUCUUAGACAACUCAAAAAUGAAGUUGCAGCCGCCGAAGAACAUUAGGAGACAGUGGAUUUUCAGGUUUCUAUCAUUGUAUCAAGUUACUAGAAUUUCUUGAGUUAUU